rnacentral:rRNA from 1 species
AUGCAUGUCUAAGCACAAGCCCCGGCACGGCUAAGCUGCGAAUGGCUCAUUAGAUCGGCUAUAAUUCAUUAGAUGAUACUAUCCUACUCGGACAACUGUGGUAAUUCUAGAGCUAAUACGUGCGACGCGGGCUCCGACCUCUGAUCGGGGAAGAGCCGGUUUUAUUAGAUACAAAACCAGACGGGCCCCCGCACGGGGGUCCGGCCUGACUGGAAUCUGAAUAACUUUGAGCAGACCGCAGGGCCCAGCGCCGGCGGCGUAUCUUUCAAGUGUCCGCCCUAUCAACUGUCGUUGGUAAGGUAUCGGCUUACCAAGGUGUUUACGGGUAACGGAGAAUUAGGGUUCGGUUCCGGAGAGGGAGCAUGAGAAACGGCUACCACA